rnacentral:lncRNA from 1 species
ACACACUCUUUCCUGCCAGCCAGUCACAUUUUUCUAUAUAUAAUUUCAGACUGGAGACACGUCAAUCCCUCCUGAGCAGGAAGCAGUAGAAAACAGACUCUGGGACAGGACACAAUGCAGGCUUUUGUGGCAACAUAUUUGUUUUUUAUUGCCAGUCUUUACAUUAGGGCUGCUGCAGUCCGAAGAGUAUCUGUCCCAGAAGAGCAUUACCUGACCCUGGACUGUAAUGGCCUCAGCGACAGCCCUGAGACAGAGUGGAGACACGGGGUCAGCAAAAUCAUUGCCACCAAACAUGGUGAAGCCGUGGCAUACCUCAACCAAAAGAAAUAUGAGUUUAUGGCUGGUGGAUCACUCAGAAUUCGGGACCUCCAGAUGUCUGACGCCGGGGAGUAUCUGUGCAACAGCCGACUGAUGGCAGAUGUGGACGUGUUGGAAGGUAGGAGGAUGUGGAUGUGUUGGAAGGUAGGAGGAUGCUGACAUGUUGGAGGGUAGGAGAAUGUUGACAUGUUGGAGGGUAGGAGAAUGUUGACUUGUGGGAAGGUAGGAGGAUGUGGACGUGUUGGAAGGUAGGAGGAUGUGGACAUGUUGGAAAGUAGAAGGAUGCUGACAUGUUGGAGGGGAGGAGGAUGUGGACUUGUUAGAAGGUAGGACGAUGUGGACGUGUUGGAAGGUAGACGGAUGUUGACGUGUUGGAAGGUAGGAGGAUGUGGACGUGUUGGAAGGUAGGAGGAUGUGGACGUGUUGGAAGGUAGGAGGAUGUGGACGUGUUGGAAGGUAGGGGGAUGUGGACGUGUUGGAAGGUAGGAGGAUGUGGACGUGUUGGAGGGUAGGAGGAUGUUGACUUGUGGGAAGGUAGGAGGAUGUGGACGUGUUGGAAGGUAGGAGGAUGUGGACUUGUGGGAAGGUAGGAGGAUGUGGACUUGUGGGAAGGUAGGAGGAUGUGGACGUGUUGGAAGGUAGAUGGAUGUUGACGUGUCGGAAGGUAGUAGGAUGUGGACGUGUUGGAAGGUAGGAGGAUGUUGACGUGUUGGAAGGUAGGAGGUUGUGGACGUGUUGGAAAGUAGAAUGAUGCUGACAUGUUGGAAGGUAGACGGAUGUUGACGUGUUGGAAGGUAGACGGAUGUUGACGUGUUGGAAGGUAGACGGAUGUUGACGUGUUGGAAGGUAGACGGAUGUUGACGUGUUGGAAGGUAGACGGAUGUUGACGUGUUGGAAGGUAGAUGGAUGUUGACGUGUUGGAAGGUAGACGGAUGUUGACGUGUUGGAAGGUAGACGGAUGUUGACGUGUUGGAAGGUAGACGGAUGUUGACGUGUUGGAAGGUAGGAGGAUGUGGACGUGUUGGAAAGUAGAAGGAUGCUGACGUUGGAGGGUAGGAGAAUGUUGACUUGUGGGAAGGUAGUAGGAUGUGGACGUCUUGGAAGGUAGGAGGAUGUGGACUUGUUAGAAGGUAGGAGGUUGUGGACUUGUGGGAAGGUA